rnacentral:rRNA from 2 species
AGACCCGAAACCCGGUGAUCUAGCCAUGGGCAGGUUGAAGGUUGGGUAACACUAACUGGAGGACCGAACCGACUAAUGUUGAAAAAUUAGCGGAUGACCUGUGGCUGGGGGUGAAAGGCCAAUCAAACCGGGAGAUAGCUGGUUCUCCCCGAAAGCUAUUUAGGUAGCGCCUCGUGAAUUCAUCUCCGGGGGUAGAGCACUGUUUCGGCUAGGGGGCCAUCCCGGCUUACCAACCCGAUGCAAACUGCGAAUACCGGAGAAUGUUAUCACGGGAGACACACGGCGGGUGCUAACGUCCGUCGUGAAGAGGGAAACAACCCAGACCGCCAGCUAAGGUCCCAAAGUCAUGGUUAAGUGGGAAACGAUGUGGGAAGGCCCAGACAGCCAGGAUGUUGGCUUAGAAGCAGCCAUCAUUUAAAGAAAGCGUAAUAGCUCACUGGUCGAGUCGGCCUGCGCGGAAGAUGUAACGGGGCUAAACCAUGCACCGAAGCUGCGGCAGCGACACUAUGUGUUGUUGGGUAGGGGAGCGUUCUG